CACCUCACUGUGUGUUCACUGUGUGCUGAGUGUGUUUCACUAAUUCACGGAUUGGGAUAAAUGCAGAGACUGAACAAAAGACUGAAAAAAGUAUAUACUUAUACUUAUAGUUAGCUCAGCACAGUUAGCUCCGCACAGUUUCCGUGUUGUUUUAGCGCAAAUAUAGAACACAGAUUUGUCUGUUUUGCAUGGCUGUGUGUGUGUGUGCGCAUAAUGUUUCUGCAUGGCUGUGUGUGUGUGUGUGUGUCUCUCCUGCUUCAUUGUGUGUGUGUGUGGCAUGGUUGCCGCUUGCUUGUUUUCAUGUAAAAGUGGCCUGAGGUGAUGACGUGGUGACUACACACUCCAGUUCAGCAGCUCUCUGUGUGUGUGUGUGUGUGUGUGUGUGUGAGACGUGGUGACUACACAAUCCAGUUCAGCAGCUCUCUGUGUGUGUGUGUGUGUGUGUGUGUGUGUGUGUGUGUGUGUGUGUGUGACGUGGUGACUACACGCUCCAUCUGUGUGGGUGAUUUGAUUACAGCAAACAGUUAUAGUGUGCACAUCCCACCUUCUGGCAGGUGCAGACAGGUGCAGGACAAAAGAAAACUAUACUCAAUUGAUAAAAUAUAAUGUCCACAACACUGCUUUUGACUCCCAAUUAUUUAAUGCAACGUUUCAACCCUGCUGGGUCUUCUUCUGCCUGAAGAUUGACGUGAUUUUCAAUUGACGUGAUUACACACACCCUCUUUCUCCCCGUGUAUGACUGAGUGUGUGUGUGUGUGUGUGUGUGUGUGUGUGUGACGGAGAGAGAAGCUCUCUCUUCUCCACACUGUACACAUUCCAGAGAAAAUGUGCAUUCAGGAGCCACGAGCACACUCCUCUAAAGCCUAAUUCUGCUUCUGCGCGGAGUCUGCGGGCGCUAACAGCUAACAGCGCCACGCUGGCCCCUCCACACAGGUGGACACCCAUGAGCACUCACUGGGGCAGGCAGCUCAGGCUACACAGGCAGCUCAGGCUACACAGGCAGCUCAGGCUACACAGGUGGGGCA